rnacentral:rRNA from 1 species
CCCGGUGACUAUAGGGGUCUGGCCAUACCCGUUCCCAUUCCGAACACGGUCGUCAAGCAGACCUCGCCGAUGAUAUUGCUUCGCGCGAGAAAGUAGGUAUCACCGGGG